rnacentral:rRNA from 1 species
AGCAGCCGCGGUAAUUCCAGCUCCAAUAGCGUAUAUUAAAGUUGUUGCAGUUAAAAAGCUCGUAGUUGAAUUUCGGGAUUGACGUGAUGGUCAUGCCUUAAGGGGUAUGAACUGUUACAGUUGAUUUCUCACCUUCUGGAGAAACUUGAUGUCCUUUAUUGGGUGUCUUGCGGAUCCAGGACCUUUACCUUGAAAAAAUUGAGUGUUUAAAGCAGGCAUUUUUGCUCGAAUACAUUAGCAUGGAAUAAUAGAAUAGGACGGCAUGGUUCUAUUUUGUUGGUUUCUAGGAUCACCGUAAUGAUUAAUAGGGAUAGUUGGGGGCAUUAGUAUUCAAUUGUCAGGGGUGAAAUUCUUGGAUUUAUUGAAGACUAACUACUGCGAAAGCAUUUGCCAAGGAUGUUUUCAUUAAUCAAGAACGAAAGUUAGGGAUCGAAGACGAUCAGAUACCGU